rnacentral:rRNA from 1 species
UACAGAGGAUGCAAUCGUUAUCCGGAAUGAUUGGGCGUAAAGCGUCUGUAGGUGGCUUUUUAAGUCCGCCGUCAAAUCCCAGGGCUCAACUCUGGACAGGCGGUGGAAACUACCAAGCUGGAGUACGGUAGGGGCAGAGGGAAUUCCCGGUGUAGCGGUGAAAUGCGCAGAUAUCGGGAAGAGCACCCGUGGCGAAGGCGGCUCUCUGGGACGGUACUGACGCUGAGACGCGAAAGCGUGGGGAGCGAACAGG